GGGUAACUGGAUGCCUGUCUGCCUGUUUUAUAGAGCAAGCCACAGCCACGUGACGACUCACUGUCUGUAGUGAACAGGAUGGUGUACCUAAUAAACUGACCGGUGAGUUAACUACUGUUUUAUAGAGCAAGCCACAGCCACGUGACGACUCACUGUCUGUAGUGAACAGGAUGGUGUACCUAAUAAACUGACCGGUGAGUUAACUACUGUUUUAUUGGUGGGGCCACUGCAGUCUGUUUGGAAACACUGAAUAAACACUGUCCUCUCAGGUGUACAGUAACUUCAGCCUUUAAAGUUUCAUUCGUUCAGGACAGCAGUUGCAUUUUGCAUUGCUGUUAUGUAUCGAUGUUCGUGUGAUGAAAUAUGAGCUGUCCCACAGCUGUGUGACGUGUUUUGUCUAUAAAGGUUACAAAUGGCCCGCUGGUGUGAGAGAGAGACAGAGAGAGAGAGAAUGAAUUAUGGUGUAAUGAAUUGUCUGUCCUUGUAAGUCUCCCGUCCCUCUGGUUCCAGAGGGGGAGUGUUCUCCUGCAGGAUCAUCAGGGAGGAUUUCAGACAGAGACACUUGUGUAUUAUCACAGACACACAGGCUCUCUGCUGAUGCAGGUCUGUCAGACGUUUAGACCUUUAGGAGAAGGUCUACUGUAAUCUGGGGAAAGGCCUAGCUGGGUGUGUAUUAUCACAGACACACAGGAUCUCUGCUGAUGCAGGUCUGUCAGACGUUUAGACCUUUAGGAGAAGGUCUACUGUAAUCUGGGGAAAGGCCUAGCUGGGUGUGUAUUAUCACAGACACACAGGAUCUCUGCUGAUGCAGGUCUGUCAGACGUUUAGACCUUUAGGAGAAGGUCUACUGUAAUCUGGGGAAAGGCCUAGCUGGGUGUGUAUUAUCACAGACACACAGGAUCUCUGCUGAUGCAGGUCUGUCAGACGUUUAGACCUUUAGGAGAAGGUCUACUGUAAUCUGGGGAAAGGCCUAGCUGGGUGUGCAGGAAGAUAAAGGAACAGCAGCACAGAUUAUUUACAACGCAGAGAUGAACUUUUUCAAGGAAUAAAACCAAACCCAUUUCAGGUUAAAUUCAGCUGUAUGUUUUCUAUCCUCUCUGCCUUGCUCUUAUUUAGAUGGAUGGUCUUAUGUUUUAGUGUAUACUUUUAGUUUGUGUUGCCUCACAUACAUGAAUGUUUCAACAGUGCCAUCACAAGUGGUUCACUGAGGAAUUGUACCUAUAGCUAAGCCCAUAUAUAUAUUAAUUAAAUGUACCUAUAGCUAAGCCCACGUAUAUAUUAAUUAAAUGUACCUAUAGCUAAGCCCACGUAUA